AACGAACGCUGGCGGCAUGCCUAACACAUGCAAGUCGAACGAGAUCCUUCGGGGUCUAGUGGCGCACGGGUGCGUAACGCGUGGGAAUCUGCCCUUAGGUUCGGAAUAACAGUUAGAAAUGACUGCUAAUACCGGAUGAUGACGUUAAGUCCAAAGAUUUAUCGCCUGAGGAUGAGCCCGCGUAGGAUUAGCUAGUUGGUGUGGUAAAGGCGCACCAAGGCGACGAUCCUUAGCUGGUCUGAGAGGAUGAUCAGCCACACUGGGACUGAGACACGGCCCAGAAUCCUACGGGAGGCAGCAGUGGGGGAUAUUGGAAAAUGGGCGCAAGCCUGAUGCAGCAAUGCCGGGUGAGUGAUGAAGGCCUUGGGGUUGUAAAGCUCUUUUACCCGAGAUGAUAAUGACAGUAUCGGGAGAAUAAGCCCCGGCUAACUCCGUG
rnacentral:rRNA from 1 species